AACGAACGCUGGCGGCAGGCCUAACACAUGCAAGUCGAACGGACGUAGCAAUACGUUAGUGGCUCACGGGAGAGUAACGCGUGGGAACCUACCUUUUGGUUCGGGAUAACAUCGGGAAACUGGUGCUAAUACCGGAUAAGCCCUUCGGGGGAAAGAUUUAUUGCCGAAAGAUGGGCCCGCGUUGGAUUAGCUAGUUGGUGAGGUAAUGGCUCACCAAGGCAACGAUCCAUAGCUGGUCUGAGAGGAUGAUCAGCCUCACUGGGACUGAGACUCGGCCCAGACUCCUACGGGAGGCAGCAGUGGGGAAUAUUGGACAAGGGUGGAAACCCUGAUCCAGCCAUGCCGCGUGAAUGAUGAAGGCCUUCGGGUUGUAAAGUUCUUUUGGUGGGGACGAUGAUGACGGUACCCACAGAAUAAGCUCCGGCUAACUUCGUGCCAGCAGCCGCGGUAA
rnacentral:rRNA from 1 species